rnacentral:rRNA from 1 species
ACAGGCGGCGAUAGCACGUUGAAUACACCAGUUCCCUACGGAUCACCGAAGUUAAGCAACGUUACGCGGGGUUAGUACCUGGAUGGUGACCAUCUGGGGACUCGCGUGCUGCUGGGU